UACGAAGGGGGCUAGCGUUGCUCGGAAUGACUGGGCGUAAAGGGCGCGUAGGCGGUGAACACAGUUAGACGUGAAAUUCCCGGGCUCAACCUGGGGGCUGCGUUUAAUACAUGUUCGCUUGAGUUCGGAAGAGGGUCGUGGAAUUCCCAGUGUAGAGGUGAAAUUCGUAGAUAUCAGGAAGAACACCCGUGGCGAAGGCGGCUCUCUGGGACGGUACUGACGCUGAGACGCGAAAGCGUGGGGAGCGAACAGG
rnacentral:rRNA from 1 species